rnacentral:rRNA from 1 species
GAUGAACGCUGGCGGCGUGCUUAACACAUGCAAGUCGAACGGACUGAGGGAGCUUGCUCCCAAAGUUAGUGGCGGACGGGUGAGUAACGCGUGGGUAACCUGCCCUAUGCAGGGGGAUAACGUUUGGAAACGAACGCUAAUACCGCAUAAUCUAGUUGGUUCGCAUGAACCGAUUAGCAAAGAUUUUAUCGGCAUAGGAUGGACCCGCGUUAGAUUAGCUAGUUGGUGAGAUAACAGCCCACCAAGGCGACGAUCUAUAGCCGGCCUGAGAGGGUGAACGGCCACACUGGAACUGAGACACGGCCCAGACUCCUACGGGAGGCAGCAGUGGGGAAUAUUGGUCAAUGGAGGCAACUCUGAACCAGCCAUGCCGCGUGCAGGAUGAAGGCCCUAUGGGUCGUAAACUGCUUUUAUACGGGAGAAAACCCGAGUACGUGUACUCGGUUGAUAGUACUGUAAGAAUAAGGAUCGGCUAACUUCGUGCCAGC